AUGAAAUGAAAGGGCGCUCUUUUUAGAGGUCCAACCCAUUCUCAUUUUCCUUACCCUGUGCACACACUGUUUUUUACACCCACUUUUAAACACUAUUAGUAUUAAGAAUGUCAUCAGUCUCUUAAUUGAGCAUAAAACAAUAAUA
rnacentral:misc_RNA from 1 species